rnacentral:rRNA from 1 species
UACAGAGGUGGCGAGCGUUAUUCGGAAUUAUUGGGCGUAAAGGGCGCGUAGGCGGCCAAGCAAGUCCUGGGUGAAAUCCCUCGGCUCAACCGAGGAACUGCCUCGGAAACUGCAUGGCUCGAGGCCGGGAGAGGGUAGCGGAAUUCCCAGUGUAGCGGUGAAAUGCGUAGAUAUUGGGAGGAACACCGGUGGCGAAGGCGGCUACCUGGACCGGUUCUGACGCUGAUGCGCGAAAGCGUGGGGAGCGAACAGG